rnacentral:rRNA from 1 species
CCCUUAGAUGUUCUGGGCGGCCCGCGCACUACACUGGCACUCUCAAUCAGAGCCUGGAUCUAACACUUUGGGGUAUUCUAUGAAGUGGUGUCGUGACUGGGAUUAACCCUUGCAAUUAUUGGUUACGAACGAGGAAUUCCUUGUAAUCGCGGUUUAUCAGCCCGCGUUGAAUGCGUCCCUGCCCUUUGUGCACACCGCCCGUCGCUCCUACCGAUGGAUCGUCCGGUGAAGCUCAUGGAGGGGCGGUUGUCUCAGCUGCCGUCGAAGUGAAAUGGACCUCACGAUCUAGAGGAAGGAGAAGUCGUAACA